AAGUCGUAACAAGGUUUCCGUAGGUGAACCUGCGGAAGGAUCAUUAACACGUAUCCAACGUUAAACAACCCUGUGAACUUUCAACCGCUCUUGUAGCCCACGCGGAACAGCAAUCCCGGUAAAUCAAUUGGAGAAAAGGUUUUGAUUCGGGACCUCUGUCCAUCAGGCUACAAUCGAGCUAGGAGCAGUGGCAUGGUUUCCCUAAGCAGUGCAGAAGGAUCCACUGAGUAAGGAUAACGUCGAUCACCGGCCGGCAGAAUGUCACAGGGCUGUAUGCCCCAUUCACACCUUGCCCUAUCUGGCCCCACGGAAACGUUGGGGCACAAACCGAACAACUGUUAACAAUGGAUAUCUUGGUUCUC
rnacentral:misc_RNA from 1 species